CGGGGAAACUCACCCGGUCCGGACACUGGAAGGAUUGACAGAUUAAAAGCUCUUUCUUGAUUCAGUGGGUGGUGGUGCAUGGCCGUUCUUAGUUGGUGGAGUGAUUUGUCUGGUUAAUUCCGAUAACGAACGAGACUCUAGCCUGCUAACUAGUUCGCCGGCAGCUCUUGUCGCGCGGCGCCGCUUCGGCGGCAAACUUCUUAGAGGGACAGGUGGCGUUUAGCCACACGAAGUAGAGCAAUAACAGGUCUGUGAUGCCCUUAGAUGUCCGGGGCCGCACGCGCGCUACACUGAAAGAAUCAACGUGGAUGCCCACCUGCUCCGAGAGGAGUGGGAAACCCGAUGAAUCUCUUUCGUGAUGGGGAUUGGGGCUUGUAAUUGUUCCCCAUGAACGAGGAAUUCCCAGUAAGCGUCAGUCAUCAGCUGGCGCUGAUUACGUCCCUGCCCUUUGUACACACCGCCCGUCGCUACUACCGAUUGAAUGGUUUAGUGAGACCCUCGGACUGGAGUCCGUCCGCCGCUUUCGGGUGGUGGAUGGGGACGGAAAGACGGUCGAACUUGAUCAUUUAGAGGAAGUAA
rnacentral:rRNA from 1 species